UAGAUCGUAUAUCUUACACGGAUAACUGUGGUAAUUCUAGAGCUAAUACGUGCAUUUUGUUUGUGCCCUCGUGGUGCAAGCGCAGUUAUUUGCUCAAAGCCAGCGAGGCCUUCGGGUCUCUUACUUGGUGAAUCUGAAUAACCGAAGCAGAGCGUAUGGUCUCGUACCGACGCCAGAUCUUUCAAGUGUCUGACUUAUCAGCUUGUUGUUAGGUUAUGUUCCUACCAAGGCUGCGACGGGUAACGGGGUGUCAGGGCCCGACACCGGAGAGGGAGCCUGAGAAACGGCUACCACAUCCAAGGAAGGCAGCAGGCGCGCAAAUUACCCACUCCCGGCACGGGGAGGUAGUGACGAAAAAUAACGAUGCGAGAGCUUUAUGCUUCUCGUAAUCGGAAUGGGUACACUUUAAAUCCUUUAACGAGGAUCUAUUGGAGGGCAAGUCUGGUGCCAGCAGCCGCGGUAAUUCCAGCUCCAAUAGCGUAUAUUAAAGUUGCUGCGGUUAAAAAGCUCGUAGUUGGAUCUGGGUAGUCGAUGGGCGGUGCGCCUUCCGGCGCUACUGCUCGUUCGGCACCACAUUCCGGUCUUGUCUUGCAUGCUCUUCACUGAGUGUGCUUGGCGGCCGGCACGUUUACUUUGAAAAAAUUAGAGUGCUCAAAGCAGGCGUUAAGCCUUGUAUAAUGGUGCAUGGAAUAAUGGAAUAAGACCUUGGUUCUAUUUCGUUGGUUUUCGGAGCUCAAGGUAAUGAUUAAUAGGAACAGACGGGGGCAUUCGUAUUGCGGCGUUAGAGGUGAAAUUCUUGGAUCGUCGCAAGACGCACUACUGCGAAAGCAUUUGCCCAA
rnacentral:rRNA from 1 species